CCGUGAAUCCGGGCGCGCGGAAUUCAGGACGGAUGGCGUGGCUCGUCGAUUCGAUAUUUCCGCCGCCGACCCGCAACGGGUGCGGACGUCGCGACCCGUUGGCCGCCGGUCUCACGGGGCGCGUUUCAAGUUCGUCCGCUCGUGCGCUCGGGUCGGCGGCGAUGGCGCGUUUUCGNCGGGCCGGCGCGGACGGUAGCCUCGGUGCGGGUAAUCGACGCGGCCGCGAACGGNNNNUCGAACGUCGUCGGGCGUGCGCGUCGACGCCGGUCAGCGACGAAUCUUCGGGCCUCUUUCCGACCCGUCUUGAAACACGGACCAAGGAGUCUAACGUGCGCGCGAGUCGCGGGGUAUCCGAGUCGNAACGCGACUCGUCACGAUACGAAACCCGUGUACGUACGUUGUGCGAAGGCGUAAUGAAAGUGAAAGCCCGCG
rnacentral:rRNA from 1 species